UACGUAGGGACCGAGCGUUGUCCGGAAUCAUUUGGGCGUAAAGAGCGUGUAGGCGGCCUUUUAAGUCCUGCGUGAAAUCCUGCGGCUCAACCGGCAGACGGUCGUGGGAAACUGGAAGGCUAGAGUGCGGGAGAGGAGAGUGGAAUUCCCGGUGUAGCGGUGAAAUGCGCAGAUAUCGGGGAAGAACACCCGUGGCGAAGGCGGCUCUCUGGAACGCAACUGACGCUGAGACGCGAAAGCGUGGGGAGCAAACAGG
rnacentral:rRNA from 1 species